CGCCUAUUCCCUCUUACCGUACAAUUGAGAAGAAGUAAGAUGCCCUUCACUUUGAUAUUUAAAACCCCAGUCCCUGUCCCAUUCUUUUUCCUUCCUCCCCAUCUUCAUAUCAAACAAUGCUUCAUAUGGCUUCAUCCAUAAACUAAGUUGGUAAUUCUCGCCUGCACACUGAUACCGAAUUGCUCUUUCUUGAUUCUAUUUGCCCAUGUCUGCUGGAAUAAAACGUUAUAAUUCAGUUGUUCCUAACCAUUGCCUUGAAACAUUCUUAGGUCAUGGCCCAAGUGUUGCAGUGAUGUGUGCACUGCUUUUAGCUCUUGGCUUGGCAGAAGAUUGGAAAAAUGCUGAAAAGUUAAUCCGAGAAAGAAGGCCUUAUAUUCAUAUGAAAGCUCUUCAUCGCAAAGCCUAGGAAGAAUGGUCGAAACACCGGUUAUCUUCUCCCACCAAACACCAAGAAGUCGGUGUAAGCUCUGUAAUUUUUGAGUGAUCUUUAGACGCUCUUAACAAAUAUUUUUGGAACCUCUAUUGUAUUUGAUAUAUCUAUAAAGGAUCUCAUCAUCGACAUUUAUUUCCUUGUAUGAGAUGGAUGUAGAAUGA
rnacentral:lncRNA from 1 species